rnacentral:rRNA from 1 species
AACGAACGCUGGCGGCAUGCCUAACACAUGCAAGUCGAACGAGACCUUCGGGUCUAGUGGCGCACGGGUGCGUAACGCGUGGGAACCUGCCCUUAGGUUCGGAAUAACUCCCCGAAAGGGGUGCUAAUACCGGAUAAUGUCUUCGGACCAAAGAUUUAUCGCCUUUGGAUGGGCCCGCGUUGGAUUAGCUAGUUGGUAGGGUAAAAGCCUACCAAGGCGACGAUCCAUAGCUGGUCUGAGAGGAUGAUCAGCCACACUGGGACUGAGACACGGCCCAGACUCCUACGGGAGGCAGCAGUGGGGGAUAUUGGAAAAUGGGCGAAAGCAUGAUCCAGCAAUGCCGCGUGAGUGAUGAAGGCCUUAGGGUUGUAAAGCUCUUUUACCCGGGAUGAUAAUGACAGUACCGGGAGAAUAAGCUCCGGCUAACUCCGUG